rnacentral:rRNA from 1 species
AGUGAACGCUGGCGGUAGGCCUAACACAUGCAAGUCGAACGGCAGCACAGUAAGAGCUUGCUCUUACGGGUGGCGAGUGGCGGACGGGUGAGGAAUACAUCGGAAUCUACUUUUUCGUGGGGGAUAACGUAGGGAAACUUACGCUAUACCGCAUACGACCUACGGGUGAAAGCAGGGGAUCUUCGGACCUUGCGCGAUUGAAUGAGCCGAUGUCGGAUUAGCUAGUUGGCGGGGUAAAGGCCCACCAAGGCGACGAUCCGUAGCUGGUCUGAGAGGAUGACCAGCCACACUGGAACUGAGACACGGUCCAGACUCCUACGGGAGGCAGCAGUGGGGAAUAUUGGACAAUGGGCGCAAGCCUGAUCCAGCCAUACCGCGUGGGUGAAGAAGGCCUUCGGGUUGUAAAGCCCUUUUGUUGGGAAAGAAAAGCAGCAGGUUAAUACCCCGCUGUUCUGACGGUACCCAAAGAAUAAGCACCGGCUAACUUCGUG